rnacentral:rRNA from 1 species
CACGUAGGGUGCGAGCGUUGUCCGGAAUUAUUGGGCGUAAAGAGCUCGUAGGCGGUUUGUUGCGUCGGCUGUGAAAUCCCGAGGCUCAACCUCGGGCCUGCAGUCGAUACGAGCAGACUAGAGUGUUGCAGGGGAGACUGGAAUUCCUGGUGUAGCGGUGAAAUGCGCAGAUAUCAGGAGGAACACCGGUGGCGAAGGCGGGUCUCUGGGCAACAACUGACGCUGAGGAGCGAAAGCGUGGGGAGCGAACAGG